rnacentral:rRNA from 1 species
AACGCUAGCUACAGGCUUAACACAUGCAAGUCGGGGGGAAACGACAGAGGAAGCUUGCUUCCUUUGGGCGUCGACCGGCGCACGGGUGAGUAACGCGUAUCCAACCUUCCCGCAAGUAAGGGAUAACCCGUAGAAAUGCGGCCUAAUACCUUAUGUUUUCCUUAGAGGGCAUCUGAUGAGGAACAAAGAUCCGUCGCUUGCGGAUGGGGAUGCGUCUGAUUAGUUAGUCGGCGGGGUAACGGCCCACCGAGACGACGAUCAGUAGGGGUUCUGAGAGGAAAGUCCCCCACAUUGGAACUGAGACACGGUCCAAACUCCUACGGGAGGCAGCAGUGAGGAAUAUUGGUCAAUGGGCGGAAGCCUGAACCAGCCAAGUAGCGUGCAGGACGACGGCUCUAUGGGUUGUAAACUGCUUUUAUGCGGGGAUAAAGUGGGUCACGUGUGGCCUUUUGCAGGUACCGCAUGAAUAAGGACCGGCUAAUUCCGUGCCAGCAGCCGCGGUAAUACGGAAGGUCCGGGCGUUAUCCGGAUUUAUUGGGUUUAAAGGGAGCGCAGGCCGCCGGGCAAGCGUGUUGUGAAAUGCAGUCGCUCAACGUCUGCACUGCAGCGCGAACUGCCCAGCUUGAGUGCGCGCAACGUUGGCGGAAUUCGCCGUGUAGCGGUGAAAUGCUUAGAUAUGGCGAAGAACUCCGAUUGCGAAGGCAGCUGACGGGUGCGUAACUGACGCUCAUGCUCGAAAGUGCGGGUAUCGAACAGGAUUAGAUACCCUGGUAGUCCGCACGGUAAACGAUGGAUGCCCGCUAUUCGGCCCCUGCGGUUGAGUGGCCAAGCGAAAGCAUUAAGCAUCCCACCUGGGGAGUACGCCGGCAACGGUGAAACUCAAAGGAAUUGACGGGGGCCCGCACAAGCGGAGGAACAUGUGGUUUAAUUCGAUGAUACGCGAGGAACCUUACCCGGGCUUGAAUUGCAGAGGAAGGAUUUGGAGACAAUGACGCCCUUCGGGGUCUCUGUGAAGGUGCUGCAUGGUUGUCGUCAGCUCGUGCCGUGAGGUGUCGGCUUAAGUGC